GUAAAUGUAGUUUAACCUAAGACAUUAGACUGUGGCUCUAAAAACAGGGGUUGAAAUCCCCUUAUUUACC
rnacentral:tRNA from 1 species